rnacentral:rRNA from 1 species
CCUACGGGAGGCAGCAGUCGAGAAUCAUUCACAAUGGGGGAAACCCUGAUGGUGCGACGCCGCGUGGGGGAAUGAAGGUCUUCGGAUUGUAAACCCCUGUCAUGUGGGAGCAAAUUAAAAAGAUAGUACCACAAGAGGAAGAGACGGCUAACUCUGUGCCAGCAGCCGCGGUAAUACAGAGGUCUCAAGCGUUGUUCGGAAUCACUGGGCGUAAAGGGUGCGUAGGCGGUUUCGUAAGUCGUGUGUGAAAGGCGCGGGCUCAACCCGCGGACGGCACAUGAUACUGCGAGACUAGAGUAAUGGAGGGGGAACCGGAAUUCUCGGUGUAGCAGUGAAAUGCGUAGAUAUCGAGAGGAACACUCGUGGCGAAGGCGGGUUCCUGGACAUUAACUGACGCUGAGGCACGAAGGCCAGGGGAGCGAAAGGGAUUAGAUACCCCAGUAGUC